rnacentral:rRNA from 1 species
GGCUUUUUGAUUAUAAUUUAAAGUCUGACCUGCCCAAUGAUUUAUUAAAUGGCCGCAGUAUAUUGACUGUGCAAAGGUAGCAUAAUCAUUAGUUUUUUAAUUGAAAGCUUGUAUGAAAGGUUUAAUGAAAAAAAUACUGUCUUUAUUUGAAUUUAUUAGAAUUUUAUUUUUAAGUAAAAAAGCUUAAAUAUUUAUUGAAGACGAGAAGACCCUAUAGAAUUUUAUAUUUUCUUUAUUUUCAUUAAAUUUAGAAUUUUAUAUAUGAAUAUAAUGAAAUUAUUUAGUUGGGGUGAUAGAAAAAUUAGUUAAACUUUUUUUUAAUUUUAACAUGAAUUAAUGAAUAUUUGAUCCUUAGAAUAAUAUUAAGAUAAUAAGAAAAAAUUACCUUAGGGAUAACAGCGUAAUUUUUUUUAGAGUUCUUAUCAAAAAAAAAGAUUGCGACCUCGAUGUUGGAUUAAAAUAAAUUAUUGGUGUAGAAGCUAAUAUUUAAGGUCUGUUCGACCUUUAAAUUUUUACAUGAUCUGAGUUUAAACCGGUGUGA